GACGAACGCUGGCGGCGUGCCUAAUACAUGCAAGUAGAACGCACAGUUUAUACCGUAGCUUGCUACACCAUAGACUGUGAGUUGCGAACGGGUGAGUAACGCGUAGGUAACCUGCCUGGUAGCGGGGGAUAACUAUUGGAAACGAUAGCUAAUACCGCAUAAUAUUGAUUAUUGCAUGAUAAUUGAUUGAAAGAUGCUAUUGCAUCACUACCAGAUGGACCUGCGUUGUAUUAGCUAGUAGGUGAGGUAACGGCUCACCUAGGCGACGAUACAUAGCCGACCUGAGAGGGUGAUAGGCCAAACUGGGACUGAGACACGGCCCAGACGACUACGGGAGGCAGCAGUAGGGAAUCUUCGGCAAUGGACGAAAGUCUGACCGAGCAACGCCGCGUGAGUGAAGAAGGGUUUCGGAUCGUAAAGCUCUGUUGUAAGAGAAGAACGGGUGUGAGAGUGGAAAGUUCACACUGUGACGGUAUCUUACCAGAAAGGGACGGCUAACUACGUG
rnacentral:rRNA from 1 species